rnacentral:tRNA from 2 species
GGAGGGUAAGCGAAUUGGCUAGCAGGCACACUGGAACUGUGUUGCCGGGUUUCCCGGUUGUGGGUUCGAGUCCCAUGCCCUCCG